AACGCUGGCGGCGCACAUAAGACAUGCAAGUUGAACGGACUUAAUCGAAAUAUUUAUAUUUUGAAGCGGUUAGUGGCGGACUGGUGAGUAACGCGUAAGGAACCUGCCUAUUAGAGGGGAAUAACAGUGAGAAAUCAUUGCUAAUACCGCAUAUGCCAUAGAUAUCACAUGAUAACAGUGGGAAAGGAGCAAUCCGCUAAUAGAUGGCCUUGCGUCUGACUAGAUAGUUGGUGGGGUAAUGGCCUACCAAGUCGACGAUCAGUAGCCGGACUGAGAGGUUGAACGGCCACAUUGGGACUGAGAUACGGCCCAGACUCCUACGGGAGGCAGCAGUCGGGAAUAUUGCGCAAUGGAGGAAACUCUGACGCAGUGACGCCGCGUAUAGGAAGAAGGUUUUCGGAUUGUAAACUAUUGUCGUUAGGGAAGAGAAAGGACAGUACCUAAGGAGGAAGCUCCGGCUAACUACGUG
rnacentral:rRNA from 1 species